AUUGAACGCUGGCGGCAUGCCUUACACAUGCAAGUCGAACGGUAACAGGUCUUCGGAUGCUGACGAGUGGCGAACGGGUGAGUAAUACAUCGGAACGUGCCCGAUCGUGGGGGAUAACGAAGCGAAAGCUUUGCUAAUACCGCAUAAGAUCUACGGAUGAAAGCAGGGGACCGCAAAGCCUUGCGCGAACGGAGCGGCCGAUGGCAGAUUAGGUAGUUGGUGGGAUAAAAGCUUACCAAGCCGACGAUCUGUAGCUGGUCUGAGAGGACGACCAGCCACACUGGGACUGAGACACGGCCCAGACUCCUACGGGAGGCAGCAGUGGGGAAUUUUGGACAAUGGGCGAAAGCCUGAUCCAGCCAUGCCGCGUGCAGGAUGAAGGCCUUCGGGUUGUAAACUGCUUUUGUACGGAACGAAAAGUCUCUUUCUAAUAAAGAGGGUCCAUGACGGUACCGUAAGAAUAAGCACCGGCUAACUGCGUGCCAGCCGCCGCCGUAACAC
rnacentral:rRNA from 1 species